GUGCCAGCCGCCGCGGUAAUACGUAGGGGGCGAGCGUUGUCCGGAAUUACUGGGCGUAAAGGGUGCGUAGGCGGCUCAUUAAGUCAGAUGUGAAAGGCUACGGCUCAACCGUAGUAAGCAUUUGAAACUGAUGAGCUUGAGUUAAGGAGAGGAAAGUGGAAUUCCUAGUGUAGCGGUGAAAUGCGUAGAUAUUAGGAGGAAUACCAGUGGCGAAGGCGACUUUCUGGCCUUUAACUGACGCUGAGGCACGAAAGCGUGGGGAGCAAACAGGAUUAGAUACCCUGGUAGUCCACGCCGUAAACGAUGAGUGCUAGGUGUUGGAGGGAUUACCCUUCAGUGCCGCAGCUAACGCAUUAAGCACUCCGCCUGGGGAGUACGUGCGCAAGCAUGAAACUCAAAGGAAUUGGCGG
rnacentral:rRNA from 1 species